rnacentral:rRNA from 1 species
CGGCAUGCUUAACACAUGCAAGUCGCACGGACCCUUCGGGGUUAGUGGCGCACGGGUGAGUAACACGUANGAAUCUGUCUUGAGGUGGGGGAUAACUCCGGGAAACUGGAGCUAAUACCGCAUGAUAACUGAGGUUCAAAGGUCGCAAGACCGCCUUGAGAGGGGCCUGCGUUCGAUUAGUUAGUUGGUGGGGUAAUGGCCUACCAAGACGAUGAUCGAUAGCUGGUUUGAGAGGAUGAUCAGCCACACUGGGACUGAGACACGGCCCAGACUCCUACGGGAGGCAGCAGUGGGGAAUAUUGGACAAUGGGGGCAACCCUGAUCCAGCAAUGCCGCGUGUGUGAAGAAGGUCUUCGGAUUGUAAAACACUUUCGUUGGGGACGAUGAUGACGGUACCCAAAGAAGAAGCCCCGGCUAACUUCGUGCCAGCAGCCGCGGUAAUACGAAGGGGGCGAGCGUUGCUCGGAAUAACUGGGCGUAAAGGGCGCGUAGGCGGCCGAUAGCUGUCAGAUGUGAAAUUUUUGGGCUCAACCCGAAAACUGCAUUUGAUACGUAUUGGCUAGAGUGCGAGAGAGGANUGCGGAAUUCCCAGUGUAGAGGUGAAAUUCGUAGAUAUUGNGAAGAACACCAGUUGCGAANGCGG